rnacentral:rRNA from 1 species
CAGUCGCCACGGUAAAACGGAGGGUGCAAGCGUUAAUCGGAAUUACUGGGCGUAAAGCGUGCGUAGGCGGUUCGUUAAGUCUGUUGUGAAAGCCCCGGGCUCAACCUGGGAAUGGCAAUGGAUACUGGCGAGCUAGAGUGUGUCAGAGGAUGGUGAAAUUCCCGGUGUAGCGGUGAAAUGCGUAGAGAUCGGGAGGAACAUCAGUGGCGAAGGCGGCCAUCUGGGACAACACUGACGCUGAGGCACGAAAGCGUGGGGAGCAAACAGGAUUAGAUACCCCCGUAGUCCCUGUCUCUUAUAC